AUACGGAGGAUCCGAGCGUUAUCCGGAUUUAUUGGGUUUAAAGGGAGCGUAGGCGGACGCUCAAGUCAGUUGUGAAAGUUUGCGGCUCAACCGUAAAAUUGCAGUUGAAACUGGCAGCCUUGAGUACAGUUGAGGUAGGAGGAAUUCGUGGGGUAGCGGUGAAAUGCUUAGAUAUCACGAAGAACUCCGAUUGCGAAGGCAGCCUACUAAACUGCCACUGACAUUGAUGCUCGAAAGUGUGGGUAUCAAACAGGAUUAGAUACCCUGGUAGUCCACACGGUAAACGAUGAAUACUCGCUGUUUGCGAUAUACAGCAAGCGGCCAAGCGAAAGCGUUAAGUAUUCCACCUGGGGAGUACGCCGGCAACGGUGAAACUCAAAGGAAUUGGCGGGG
rnacentral:rRNA from 1 species